GACGAACGCUGGCGGCGUGCCUAACACACGCAAGUCGAACGGAAAGGCCCUGCUUUUGUGGGGUGCUCGAGUGGCGAACGGGUGAGUAACACGUGAGUAACCUGCCCCUGACUUUGGGAUAACUUCAGGAAACUCGGGCUAAUACCGGAUAGGAGCUCCUGCUGCACGGUGGGGGUUGGAAAGUUUCGGCGGUUGGGGCAGGACUCGCGGCGUAUCAGCUUGUUGGUGGGGUAGUGGCUUACCAAGGUUUUGACGGGUAGCCGGCCUGAGAGGGUGACCGGCCACAUUGGGACUGAGAUACGGCCCAGACUGCUACGGGAGGCAGCAGUGGGGAAUAUUGCACAAUGGGCGGAAGCCUGAUGCAGCAACGCCGCGUGCGGGAUGACGGCCUUCGGGUUGUAAACCGCUUUCGCCUGUGACGAAGCGUGAGUGACGGUAAUGGGUAAAGAAGCACCGGCUAACUACGUG
rnacentral:rRNA from 1 species